rnacentral:rRNA from 1 species
GACGGAGGAUGCAAGCGUUAUCCGGAAUGAUUGGGCGUAAAGCGUCCGCAGGUGGCAGUUCAAGUCUGCUGUCAAAGACCGGGGCUUAACUUCGGAAAGGCAGUGGAAACUGAACAGCUAGAGUAUGGUAGGGGCAGCGGGAAUUCCUGGUGUAGCGGUGAAAUGCGUAGAGAUCGGGAAGAACAUCGGUGGCGAAAGCGCUCUACUGGACCGCAACUGACACUCAGGGACGAAAGCUAGGGGAGCGAAUGGG